rnacentral:misc_RNA from 1 species
UGGAAUCUGCAGAUGUUGGAAAGUUCCAUGCCGAUGAGAACCUGACAUUGGAUGCUUCUUCAAGCAAAAGUGAUAAUGUGGGUGAUAAGGAAGCAUCUGUUAUGAAAUCUGGUGCAUUGGAUCAGCCGUUUGUACCAGUUCCAACUCCAGAUCUUUCUGAGGCAACUUCAAAGAAUGAAUGCAAAGUUGUGGAAAAUAGUGGUACUGGCUCCCUUGCAGUAUCUAGUUCCAAGGACAAAGCUGUUGACCUGACCAGAGCAAAGACUACCUCUGCCAAACUGAAGAAGAAGAAAAAAGAAAUUCUUCAGAAAGCUGAUGCUGCUGGUACAACUUCUG